UAGUGGGCUUCAUUAACAGACCAGGGCAAAGUCGGUCUGUCCCGCUACUACAACAUGCUACUUGACUAUGUCUGGAAGCCAUGGCUGCUGCCCUCAACAUGCUAAACUGAAACCCUCACAAAUAAAGUCACAAAUCAAGAAUUAACAUUGAUGGUGAUGGUGGCAAGGGUGCCUUCAUAAGGUGCCAUCCAGCAAGUCCCAGUCUGGAGCCAGAGGCUGGCACUGCACGUCAGAUGGGGGAGGAUCUAUGUUAGGCAUCAGAAAGGUGGUUUAAGCAAGAAGGAAAGAGCUUCUGCAGACAGUGUUGCAAUUAGACACCUGACUUUUACUGAGUCCCUUUUCUGGUUUGUUUUGGACGAACUAGAGUGGUGGGCACAGAAAUUUUGUCGAUGGGUCAAACAUUCACACACUCACUCACACAACCACACUUGUGGAUUUGUCAAGCAACAAAUCUUUGUAUAUAAUCUGUUGCUCAUUGAAUAUGCUUAAUAAAUGUUGUCUUCUUGACUUGUA